ACUGCGAGAAUAAUGGAAGAGUUUUUGAAUGGCUGUGUUUGUUGGCCCAUGUGAAAUGUGCAUAAGGGAAUGCUGAUAAAGGCAGUCAAUUAUAUAGAAAUGCUCUUCAGGUCCUUACAGAUUCAAAAUGUAUGCCUUUGGAUGACAACGUAAUGGAAAAGAUGAUAGAUUUACCAGAAUUGCUGCAUUUAGUGGGAAGGUUACCUGGGGAGCUGCACAGGGGUAGUCCAACGGGGCUAUCUUCCAUAUAUUUGUACCAUAUUAUAAUAGGCUAUUUCAAAUAUUCAGUUAAAUUUUGUGUGCUUCUAGGUAUUUUUUUUAAUGUGGGGGGGCUUUGAUUUACUUUUACUGAACAAUUGAAGGUAUUUAUUAAAUGUGUCUAUAUAUAUGUGUGUGAAUUCAUACAUAGCUGUAUAUUUCUGCAAAUGAAACUUACUGACUUAUUGAUAGCUUCAGCUCUAGAUUAAUUGGUCACUAAAUUGUUCAACUUCAGCUUAAUUAAACUUGGUCUGAACUGAAUCCAAGCCCAUCUAGGCUGAGCUUGGUUUUCACAUGCUUGGUCAACCUUGCUCAUGUACCUAAUGGAUUUGGUUUUUAAAGUCCCAUGUUUAUUUCAAAUCUAUGUGAAGCCAUAUUGAAUGCUUUAUUAUGUUGUUUUGUAAUCCUGAUAGGUUGCAAUUAAUUCAUCUUUACAAUAUGUUAUAAGUUUUGAAUUUGAUAUGCUUAAUUGUUACCUAGAUUUCGUAUUGGUUCUAAAUAGUAUUGGGAUUAUAUUUAUAAUAAAUUUAAAUAGUAUUGGGAUUAAAUAGUGUUGGGAUUAAAUUUAAUUUUAUCAAAUUAAAAAAUAAAUUUAAGUAGUGUUGGGAUUGCUUGAAGAAUCGACUUGAUCAGCAUAAUACAUGGGGGCGGUUUCAAUGACUCGGCUGUGGUUGAGAUUGAUGAAUUUAAUUCUUAUUUCGGAUAGAUAUUGAAUUUAAUAUAUAAAAAACCAUAUAAUCGACCCAAUCAACUUAUUCAUAUGCAUACAACUUGAAACAUGUGUGUUUAUUUUCUUAAUUAAUAACUUGAAUUCAGCUUUAAACAAUUGUCGCUAAAGGACUCCAAAGAAGCACUUUGAACAUGUUUUUGAGGUUUGACAUCCUUGAGUUUUAUUACUUUGGGUUCAAGGUCUGAAAGAAUUUAAUUGGGUGUAUGAAUAUUAUAUAGAUAUGGUUUGCGUGAACUCCUCAUUAUGGUCUUGCUUUGUAAGUUAUUCAUAUGUAGGUAAGGUUUGGCUGAUGGUUGUUCAUUAUAUAAAUAGUUAUUCAUGUGUAGGUAUGGUUUGGCUGAUGGUUGUUCAUUAUAUAUAUAGGUAUGGCUGAUGUCUGAUGCUUCUUUUCUUUUUCUCUUUUUUUUUCCAUUACCAAGUGUCUCAUUUGUCUAAUAACAAAUAUCAAGUUUUUUUCUUUCAUUACCAACUGUUUAAAUUGCUGAUUAAACAGUUUUUUUUUUUUUGUCAUAAAAUUAUGUUUGGACUUUUUAAAUGAUAAUUAUAAAUUUAAUUUGAAGACUAUAAAAUUGAAGUUAGUUGGGGAAGAGAAGAGUUUAAAUUUGGACAAUUGUUGUGCUCCUAUUUUAGUACAUUUUAUGUUGGUAGGGCUGAUUUUAAUUUUAUCAUUUUAAUGUAAUUGUUAAAAUACAUCAUUCAACCAUCAUAAUUAUAUAACCAAAUAUUUUUAGGUUGAAGUAAAACAGUUAUGGACAAUAUCACCAUUUUCGGACA